AGUUGGCCUGGUUUUGCUUGGAAAAGGUACAUUUGUGUGUAUUUUGUUAGAUAGAUAGAUAGAUAGAUAGAUAGAUAGAUAGAUAGAUAGAUAGAUGAUAGAGUAUUCUGAUAAUCUAACAUGGUAUUGGUCAUGACUGUUUAAAGUGAGGCUGUGGGUAUUUGAACAUUUCUCCUUUUACUUGUAUAUAUUUUCUUGAGUGAGUAAUAGCACUUUUAAAAAUAAAAAGCAACUUUUUAUGUCUAACUUUUUAAUCAUCUUCAUUCUAAACGGUCAAUCCAUACUGUCACGGAAAAGAAGCAAUUUUACAAAACACAUACUUUGAAAAAGAAGGGGACUGGCUGUGCCCAUUAGAACUCAGCCAAGCUGAAGAACUCUGCAAUGACAGUCCUCUGCAGGGCACCAGUGGCCUGGAGGAGAAAGCAGCCCUGUGGGCACAGCCGGAGAAGGAAGCUUCAUCUCGGACAUCAUUUCAAAGGAAUUCUUCUUUAAGCACAGCACCCACAGAAGAAUCCUACAAAAACUCCAUUUUCACUUAGUUCCGGCAGACAGAUGACUGAGACCAGCCUGGGAAGAAACUCGCUGGGCGCCCAGCAAAUGCGGUGGCUGCUGAUGAGCUUGACCAGCUGGGAAGUGAGCUCUGCCCCAUCACCUACCCUGGGGAGCUAGGCAGCAGCUGAUUACAUCCUCUGUCCCUUUCUUGAAUUCCCACUGUGGACAGAUCUCUGGGCUCAGUUCCCAGUGUGCUUUGUCUCUACUAGGUAAAAGCACCAAAUAUUCGUGUGUACUCGGAGGCCGCAGAGAUGCAGUGUGACCCACGGCUGUGGAUUAACACCGUAUGUUGGACACCCCGGAGCAGGAAACCCUCCUACUCUUCCAUCCUCAGCCGUUUGUGUGGGCUUCCACGUUCUGUUGGCCGCCCCCUGGAAAAUGCCUCGCUUGUGCUGUUAUUUUUUCUUUUAUGUUGAAGUCUCCUGGGGUCCGCUUGACUCUUGUAGUUGGUUAGAGUCCAAGUAUAGACUCCUCUGCUUGUGACUAGAGGCAGGGCAGUAGGGUAAGGCUGGUGGGAAUCAGGGAGAGGGGGCUUUUCCACAUUUUAGAAGAUAAUAUAAUAACAUGGUUGAGGUUGAGAUAGAAAUACUUCAGAGGAAGCGUGACUAUGAGACAGAGGGAAGAAGACAGAUCCCACCAUCCCACCAACUGAUGGCUGGUGGGAACUCUGCUCCCACCACCCGCACUGCUCACCCUAGCCCCAACACCAGACACCCUUCCAGACUGAGUAAGGCUAAGCCGCGGACUGGAUCAAGGAUUGGAACCUGCCUACCAGAAGAAAGUCAGAAAAGUGUCUAUAAGGGCAAGAUUGGGUUUCCUUUAACAUGAGAGGGAUAUGGUGUGGGGCAGGGAAUGCCACCCUGUCUCUUCCUAGGAGGUGCUCCUGUGAGCCUUCCCCCGGGCCCUGUCAAUCAUGCAACCUUAUUUAUCAUACAUCAGUCAGGUGCUGAGUCCAAUGUGAUAAGUGGAGAAACAGAGGCACAGACCAAUUAGUUUGUCCAGCAUCUCCUACUAGGAAGUAGAAGACUGCACAGCCCAUGUGACUCAUGCUUCGGGGCUUUUGCUCUUCAACUGGAUGCCAGAUGUUUGAGAAGAUCAACGAUUACCCAGGUGUUUCCUGGGUUUUGUUCCUGUUGCCUGCAAAUGUUGUCUAUGAUCUGACUCUCCAGCAGCUGGGGUCUUCCAGCCUUGGGAGCAAACAGAGGACGCCCCAGUGUCUUGAGUGCGGUCACUUGCAUACGUGGCUCCCACUCUCAGCUGAGUCCUGUGGAGGGUUCACAGGCAGAGCAGUCAUGGAGAUGAGUAGCCUCGCCUCCCAGGCCCAAGACCAACAGCAAAGCCACAGCUGGCUGAGGUGUUUGGAAGUAACGUUUCCCCUCAACUGCACAGCCCGGAUUUAAGUUCUUGAGACUUCCUGAGAGGCCACCCUCUUGGAGCUUUAAUCCUUCCCCCAGUGUCCUUCCUGCCACCUGUAGUCUAAACUUAGUGACAAGCAUGCCUUCCCCAACCACUUUGGCAGGCCAUCCUGCUGCUUUUGAGCAAGCAUGUGCUCCUUCAUCAGGGCCACCUUGAGAGAGAAAGCUCGAGUGGGAGCCAGUGACAAUUAUCUUCCUGUGGUUUUUUUUUAAUUUUUCAUUGAUUCUAUAAAUAAUACACAAUUGGGAAACUGUACAUGUCUGUCUAUAUCUAUAUGACAAUAAAUAACAUCCUUACCCCUCGCA